rnacentral:tRNA from 1 species
AGGCACGUAGCUCAGUGGUAGAGCACUACCCUGACGCGGUAGUGGUCGCCAGUUCGAUCCUGGCCGUGCCUACCA